AUGAGUGGGGACCAUCAGUUGGUCACUAUCAGUAUGAAGAACAAGAAAAGGAUGGACGCCAACACGUGUGCAUGGCAGUGGCGCAGUAGCUGUGUGAAGAAAUAUUCGAGAUAUACAGAACGAUUAUAUCACUGCAGUAAGAUUGGUUUUGAUUUUAAUGUUGGAUCUCAAAUGCACAAAAAACUGGACUUGAAGAUGGUGACAAAUGGUGUCAUACUUGAGAUGUGUGAUUUUGCUAAAAUGGUCAAUAAGAGUAAAAUACAGUUUGCCACACACAUUCUGGAGAAUAAUUUUGAUCUCGGGUUAGACAAUGAGCAACAGAGGAGUGAAUUUUCUUCUCGAAUUCUACACAAAGUGAAAGACCUUAUGAGAAAACCUAGAGAUGAACAUGGAGUUUUCACUCUCUGUGACAUUUUACAGUGUGCAGUGUGCACAAACACACUAGAGGAUGCCCUUAAUACAGAUGACACUAAAGAUGAAGAUCAAUGUGGUUUAGAAGAAAUCGAUGGACCACAAACUAAUGACAUCAAUGAUUUAGAUGAAGGUUUAAGGCUGCACUCAAAUGAACUGAAAGCAGAUGUUGGUCUCCCAUCAUUUCCUCAUUGUGAAGGGAUUGGACUAAACAUUGAAGUUGGUUCAAAACAAAGUCUAGAUCCAACUUCAUUGACGAAUGGGGUCAUGUUAGAACUGGUACAUUUUGCCAGAUUCAUAACUUCCUACAGCUCUAUUGUUCUGGGUUUGUUGGAACAUAAUUUCGAACUUGACAUAAAAUGUCCAAACCUCAAAAGUAUAGUUUGGCUCAAGAUAUUAGCCCUGCUAAAGAGGAGGAAGCAGCUCAUUGACAUGUUUAAAGAUGAAUCGUUUUGCUUUUACACAGAGUCGGAAAAGUCAGAAGCAGAAAACCCCUUGUAUCACUUCAGAGACAUUCCCAAAAAAAGGCAGCCUAAAAAGAGGGCUCUGUCAGCACCAAGAGGAGGUGGCACUAAGAUGUGCAAAGCGAAGAAGAUAAAGAAAGACAUCCCAUCACAGAAUAAAAACACAUGUUCCUGGGAUUCAGACCAUGCAUCAGAUUUAGAGCAUUCUUACAUGUGUCCCUUGGAUUCAGAUGAAGCUUCUAACAUAGAGGGCACAGAUAAUGAGAAUCCUGUACAAGACUCCUGUUCUAAUACUUUGAGACCAUCAGAGUUAGUUUGUUUAAGUACACAUACACCUUUCCUCACCAACUCUGAUCCUUCAUUCGAUGUGAACUCACCAUUUGCAGGAAAGUCUAAUAAACGUAAGUCAGCUGGAGACAAAAAGCAAACACAAAUUCCAGGAAAUGUCCCUGACAGAUGUCUGGCUGAAGAGGAGGACAUGCAAGUCGAGAGGGACAUGUGGAAGCUGCGCUCUAAACGUGUAAAGCAAAUUGUAGAAGACCAGGAAUACUGUGCAUUUCACAAAGCGCGGGAGGUCGGCAUAGAAUUCAACGUUGGCUUUGGCCCAAAGCAAAAAAUCAGUAUUAACUCUUUGACCACUGCUCUCUUUUUUGAAAUAGUAAAGUUUGCCUUGGCCUUGAAUUCAUCUCAGCAGGAGUUUAUCAUGGAGAUUCUUGAGUACAACUUUGACUUAGACCUGCAUAACAAAAUCCAAAGGAAAAUGUUUGCACAAGAUCUAAUGAUUAAAGUGAGACAGCUCAAAAAUAGGAAGUAUCCUGAGAAAUCCUCCAGAGAGAUUUUUGAACUCCCUGGCCUGGUGUCAUUGGUUAACAUGGCAAAGGCCAACAUGGGAAAUGUUGGUACUGAACUCGAAACCCUAUCAAGAAUGAACAAGUGUACAGUUGGUCCUGUGCGUCGUCCUGAUUCACAUGCAGAAGCUACUGAACAGAGUGUGAACCAUCAUCCUUUCUGUGAGGAAAUAGAGUUGAAGUUACAUGUGAAACACCACCAUCCCAAAAAAAAGCUUGAGCUGUACAAACUGACAAGUGGAGCGAUGUCUGAAGUGAUGAACUUUGCUGAAAGGCUGUGUGGAACAUUCCAAGAGAUUUUUGUUGAUGUCCUUCAACACAACUUCGAUUUUGAUUCGCAAAAUGGAAAUUCUGAUCCUACUACAGAUAUUCUCUUAAGAGUUCCUAUUGUGGUGGAGCAGCAAAAUCUGAUGAGAUGUUUUCCCUUCAGCCCAAGUUUCAAACUACAAUGGUCACUCAAGCCGAUAUGGGAGUUUGGGAAUCCCCCACCUUCAAAUGCACAGAGUAAUGAUUCUGUCCAGGUUCCCUUCAUUGAUCAAAAUGUAGAGAUAUGUGCUCACGCUGAGCAAGAAAAUGAGCUUGAUUUAUGGCUGUGGAGGUUGCGGGCCAAUCAGAUGCAGCGAAUCCUUUCUGUGCCUCAUUUAGAACAUUGCCCUCUUUAUUCUUUUUCCAAAUGCAAGAAAGUAGGCAUUGAUUUCAACAUAGGAUCUGGUGUCAAACAAAGUCUUGAUCCAAGGUUACUGACCAAUGGCGUUAUGGUUGAAAUAGACAACUUUGCCAGUGAACUUCAAGCUGCUCAAAAGUACUUCAUCACUGAAAUACUGGAGUAUAAUUUUGAUUUGGAAAGGUUUGACUUGAAAAACGACCUGAAUCGCAGCAUUUUUGCACAGCAGCUCUUCUUAAAAGUCAGAGCAGCAGUUUAUAGACGUUCACAAAGCCUGAUGAUGAAACCUUUUGAAUUGCCUGACUUAAGAUGCGUAGAAGGCUCUCCAAAAUUAAAGUUUUGCCCCAGAUGUUGUAGGGAUGAAUCUGGCCCAGGCCACAUGAUUCAUCCUCACUUACCUGCCACAGUGUCUGGUGAAGCCAACUGCACAGCAAAGCAGCCUGCAAAGGACUCCUCCUCCAUCUCCCCAACAUUGUUGAAGUCCAUAAUGCACAAAUACCAUCGCUGCAGGCUGAGUGGUUUAAGUCUGUGCAUGGAGAAAGACCAACCAAGCGUAAAACUUGACAUGCGCCUCCUGACACGGGGAAUUGUCCGUGAAGUAGCAGGUUUUGCCAAAACAUUGUGUGGAACAAAAAAUCAACUUGUGAAUGAUAUUAUCAAACACAACUGGUUUGGUUCACAGAGCAAAGACAUAAACCACGCAGCUCAGUUCACAGCGCAGAUGACUGCAAGAAGCAGGAAACCCAGUUGGUUCAAUGAACGUUUUGUAGCUCAGCCAAAUCAUCACAGAGAUUCUGGACAUACCGCGAAGGGAAGUAAAGUAGCAGCCAAAAACGAGAAGGCAGGUGACCGUGCUUCCACAGGACAGGUUGAAGAGGAGGAGAUGAUGAGUGUCUGUCAUCACGCAGAUCUGUGA
ensembl:lncRNA